UCUCCGUUGGUGAACCAGCGGAGGGAUCAUUACAGAGUUUUAUACUCCAAACCACUGUCUACCUACCUUAACGUUGCUUCGGCAGGAGGCCCCAGGGCGGGGCCGUAGCCUUUACAGGCGCCCGCCGGAGGUUUUAAACUCUAUAUUUUUAAUUGUCUCUCUGAGUAAACUUAUAAAUAAGUCAAAACUUUCAACAACGGAUCUCUUGGUUCUGGCAUCGAUGAAGAACGCAGC
rnacentral:misc_RNA from 1 species